GAUGAACGCUAGCGGCAGGCUUAAUACAUGCAAGUCGAGGGGCAGCAUGAUUGUAGCAAUACUAUUGAUGACGACCGGCAACGGGUGCGGAACACGUACACAACCUCCCAAUAAGUGGGGAAUAGCCCAGAGAAAUUUGGAUUAAUACCCCGUAACAUAACGAUGUGGCAUCACAUUGUUAUUAUAGAUUUUUCGCUUAUUGAUGGGUGUGCGGCUGAUUAGAUAGUUGGCGGGGUAACGGCCCACCAAGUCUACGAUCAGUAGCUGAUGUGAGAGCAUGAUCAGCCACACGGGCACUGAGACACGGGCCCGACUCCUACGGGAGGCAGCAGUAAGGAAUAUUGGACAAUGGACGCAAGUCUGAUCCAGCCAUGCCGCGUGAAGGAUUAAGGUCCUCUGGAUUGUAAACUUCUUUUAUAAGGGACGAAAAAAGGCUUUUCUAAGUCGUCUGACGGUACCUUAUGAAUAAGCACCGGCUAACUCCGUGCCAGCAGCCGCCGUAAAAC
rnacentral:rRNA from 1 species